UCUGCCAUCGCUAAGUCGAUGGUCAGACAAAAGCAAUGGUUAAUGGUGAAAGUCUUCCCUUCAUAUCAUGAAAUAAAAUUAGAGCCUUUUGCUUAAGAAGGUUUUAGAACUUAUGUGGCAUACUUUCAAAGUGUAGCAAGAACUCCCAUCUUUGUUAAGGGAAAGCAUCAUUCGACGAACAACUGCCAUUUUAAAAGACGACGCUGAAGACCCUACUUAGGAGGAAAAUCGACGGCAAUGAUUAAACUGUUCAGUCCUUCCGUCUUUGAAAACUGCCGGUGCCAUUUUGAAUGUGGGCAGAUGUGCCCGCGGCCAUUUUGAGACGCGUUGACUUCGGAUGACCGCCAUCUUGAAAGAGGGCAGCCGGUUGUAAUUAAAUAAAAGUCAAAGAAGUCGGUUUUUGAGGAUCUUCUUGUGUAGUCCUCGAAAGGGUAAUUUUUGUUGUGGUCUAAGAAAUCAAUCGACAUAUUGGAGAAGGGCGCAUAUCGCCGGUCUGGAAGCUAGCAGUCCCAGGAACCAUAAAGUGGUAUCCUGAACCGCCAUUUCAACAAAGGGCAGAGGGAUCUAUUGCUAUGGCAACCGAGCAUUCAGGGGAGCCAUAUUGAUUUCACCUUCAAUUUGCCUUAAAAGCGCUGCUAAAAGCCUUCUCCGUGGUAUCUGUCACUAAACUGCAUGUCUUUUUCAUAAACCCAGACGAUCUGAUUAUUGUCUGUAAACUUUUGCAUUAUACCACUAUCUUAUCAUCGUGGUGCUACAGAGAUUCAUACUCCUCUUUAAACGAAUUCAGUAUCUGGUUAAAAACAUAGGCAUGCAAAAACAUUCACAGCAGAAUGAGGUUCCAGAUAAUAAGAUUAUAAGAAGUCCAUCCACAGAACUUCAGCAAGGAGAUAAAGAAGAAAUUUUACUUGCAAGAAGAAGAAUUUGAGGUACUCUUCUCUGGUGCAACGUACGGGUGCACCAGUCACACCAGGGAUCAUGGUGCCUACCUGCCAGAUUUAGUCAGCAGGCAGAUUUGAGCUGUACACCUAAACCCCUAGAAAAGGCCUCAGAAGAGAAGACAUCCAGACUCAGCCUGGAACAAUGAGGAAGAAGAGGCAGUUGAUGGAGAGGAAGGAUGAUUAGAAAAGUGAGAAAAAUAUACUGGAUGAGUGAAAGAAGGAGGGAAAAAUGACUGGUUGGAAAGCUAGAGGAGCAU